GCCUCAGUGGAUCAGGGUAGAUCGCCUCGAUAUCUUCAGCUAGCUCCGUAGAAAAUUAACGAGGAGAUGUGGGUUCGAGUCCCGUCGGAGGCC